rnacentral:rRNA from 1 species
ACGAACGCUGGCGGCGUGCUUAACACAUGCAAGUCGAACGGUAAGGCCCUUUCGGGGGUACACGAGUGGCGAACGGGUGAGUGACACGUGGGUAAUCUGCCCUGCACUUCGGGAUAAGCCUGGGAAACCGGGUCUAAUACCGGAUAUGAGCUCCUGCCGCAUGGUGGGGGUUGGAAAGUUUUUCGGUGCAGGAUGAGUCCGCGGCCUAUCAGCUUGUUGGUGGGGUAAUGGCCUACCAAGGCGACGACGGGUAGCCG